rnacentral:rRNA from 1 species
GACGAACGCUGGCGGCGUGCUUAACACAUGCAAGUCGAACGAAGUGGCGAACGGGUGAGUAACGCGUAAUCAACCUGCCCUUCAGAGGGGGACAACAGUUGGAAACGACUGCUAAUACCGCAUACUGAAGGAGGGGCUUGCGUCUGAUUAGCUAGGUGGAGGGGGAACGGCCCACCAGGGCGAUGAUCCGUAGCCGGUGUGGGGGGAGGAACGGCCACAGUGGGACUGAGACAGGACCCAGACACGUACGGGAGGCAGCAGUGGGGAAUCUUCCGCAAUGGACGAAAGUCUGACGGAGCAACGCUGCGUGAGUGAUGACGGCCUUCGGGUUGUAAAGCUCUGUUAAUCGGGACGCGGUACCGGAAUAGAAAGCCACGGCUAACUACGUGCCAGCCGCCGCGGUAAUUC